GAUACAGCUUGCGGAUGUAAAAGUCUUAAGAGACUUUAUUUGAGACACAGACAAUUGGUAUCCUUUGGAGUCAUGAGAGAAAGAGCAAAGAAAUACUGAAAGCUCUGAGAUGCAACAGGAACUUAUGAAGGCACAUGGAAAGUUGGCCUCUUUUGCAUGGGGAAUAGAAGACAAAAGUUAGUCGGAGUUUGGUGAGACACACUUGGGAUACUGCAAACAGAUUUGAAAACAUUAGUUGGUUAGGCAUGGACAAGAGAAAAUCUGCAGAUGCUGGAAAUCCAAGCAACACAUGCAAAACGUUGGAGGAACUCAGCAGGCCAGGCAGCAUCUAUGGAAAAAAGUACGGUCAAUGUUUUGGGCCGAAGGCGGAGUUUAGGAGGGAUUAUGGCCCCUAACGGCAACUCCUUUGCUUGCCUCUUCAGAAAUAGCUCUAUUUUCACCUUUAAUAUCUUUAUUUGUCCCUUUCGGGGUCCUUUUGAAGACCCUGACCUGGAGUUACACACAGGCUUUGGUUCAUUGUGGGAAUGGGACCUGUUCUCGGGGUUCCACAACUGGCUGUUAUUCGACAUACCAGGGGUUUUGAUAAUGAGAGUCUCGAUAAUAUUCAGAAGCCUAAGACCUCGGGACUCUGGAGAUGGGAGGAUCGAGGGUUGGUGUCACGGCAGAAGACUCAUGUGUCAUCGGGGAGGCCGGAAAAUCUUUCGCUGUGGGCCCGAAGACCAGAGGUCUUUGUGAUCUUCGGACACAGAGCUCGAAAAAGCAACAAAAUGGACUUUUAUCAUC